AGUGAACGCUGGCGGUAGGCCUAACACAUGCAAGUCGAACGGCAGCACAGUAAGAGCUUGCUCUUACGGGUGGCGAGUGGCGGACGGGUGAGGAAUACAUCGGAAUCUACUUUUUCGUGGGGGAUAACAUAGGGAAACUUACGCUAAUACCGCAUACGACCUACGGGUGAAAGCAGGGGAUCUUCGGACCUUGCGUGAUUGAAUGAGCCGAUGUCGGAUUAGCUAGUUGGCGGGGUAAAGGCCCACCAAGGCGACGAUCCGUAGCUGGUCUGAGAGGAUGAUCAGCCACACUGGAACUGAGACACGGUCCAGACUCCUACGGGAGGCAGCAGUGGGGAAUAUUGGACAAUGGGCGCAAGCCUGAUCCAGCCAUACCGCGUGGGUGAAGAAGGCCUUCGGGUUGUAAAGCCCUUUUGUUGGGAAAGAAAAGCAGCAGGUUAAUACCCCGCUGUUCUGACGGUACCCAAAGAAUAAGCACCGGCUAACUUCGUG
rnacentral:rRNA from 1 species